UACUGUCUUCGACUGCUCGUAAAAUGGGCCAUAAAUUCUCAACUGAGCUGUUCAAAAGAAUGGAUGGUACCUGACUUCAGAUCCGAGCACCAUUACCGAGCUGCACCUCUCAGGGUUGAUGGAAAGGCCCUGCACAAGAUUGCAUCCGGUGCUUCAUAAAUGAGCAUCGUGGAGUUGAAGGAUACCACAUGAUCGAUGGGGUUGGUUGUCCCAUACUAGCUUUCCAACUGCGAAAGUCUGAAAUGGGCAGGCAGUGGCUUCUGCAUG
rnacentral:lncRNA from 1 species